rnacentral:rRNA from 1 species
UCAACAAAAUCAUCUGCCAGAGAACUACUAGCAAUAGCUUAAAACUCAAAGGACUUGGCGGUGCUUUAUACCCCUCUAGAGGAGCCUGUUCUAUAAUCGAUAAACCCCGAUAAACCUCACCACUUCUUGCUAAAUCAGUCUAUAUACCGCCAUCUUCAGCAAAC